rnacentral:lncRNA from 1 species
GGACCAGGUCACAGAUGAUUUCUCCUUCCGACUUCAUAUAGACUAAAUGCAAGUUUUGGACAAUGCCUUGGGGAGCCAGUGUAUGACAGGAUGCCAAGAGGAAAGAAGGGAGGAAGGCAUGAAGGAGGGUGAAGGAAGGAAGAAAAGAAGAAGAGAACGCACACAGUAGUCUCCACUUAUCUAUGGUUUCACUUUUUGUGGUUUCAAUUACUUCUUGUCAGCCAUGUUCUGAAAAUAUUAAAUGGAAAAUUCCC